UUGGGCGUAAGAGCUCGUAGGUGGCUUGUCGCGUCUGCCGUGAAAACCCGAGGCUCAACCUCGGGCGUGCGGUGGGUACGGGCAGGCUAGAGUGUGGUAGGGGAGACUGGAACUCCUGGUGUAGCGGUGAAAUGCGCAGAUAUCAGGAAGAACACCGAUGGCGAAGGCAGGUCUCUGGGCCAUUACUGACACUGAGGAGCGAAAGCAUGGGUAGCGAACAGGAUUAGAUACCCUGGUAGUCCAUGCCGUAAACGUUGGGCACUAGAUGUGGGGGACAUUCCACGUUUUCCGCGUCGUAGCUAACGCAUUAAGUGCCCCGCCUGGGGAGUACGGCCGCAAGGCUAAAACUCAAAGGAAUUGACGGGGGCCCGCACAAGCGGCGGAGCAUGCUGAUUAAUUCGAUGCAACGCGAAGAACCUUACCAAGGCUUGACAUGCACCGGACGAUCCCAGAGAUGGGGUUUUCUUCGGACUGGUGCACAGGUGGUGCAUGGUUGUCGUCAGCUCGUGUCGUGAGAUGUUGGGUUAAGUCCCGCAACGAGCGCAACCCUUGUUCUAUGUUGCCAGCACGUGAUGGUGGGGACUCAUAGGAGACUGCCGGGGUCAACUCGGAGGAAGGUGGGGACGACGUCAAAUCAUCAUGCCCCUUAUGUCUUGGGCUUC
rnacentral:rRNA from 1 species